GACGAACGCUGGCGGCGUGCUUAACACAUGCAAGUCGAACGGAAAGGCCCUGCUUUUGUGGGGUGCUCGAGUGGCGAACGGGUGAGUAACACGUGAGUAACCUGCCCUUGACUUUGGGAUAACUUCAGGAAACUGGGGCUAAUACCGGAUAGGAGCUCCUGCUGCAUGGUGGGGGUUGGAAAGUUUCGGCGGUUGGGGAUGGACUCGCGGCUUAUCAGCUUGUUGGUGGGGUAGUGGCUUACCAAGGCUUUGACGGGUAGCCGGCCUGAGAGGGUGACCGGCAACAGUGGGACUGAGAUACGGACGAGACUCCGACGGGAGGCAGCAGUGGGGAAUAUUGCACAAUGGGAGGAAGCAUGAUGAAGCAACGCCGCGUGCGGGAUGACGGCCUUCGGGUUGUAAACCGCUUUCGCCUGUGACGAAGCGGGAGUGACGGUAAUGGGUAAAGAAGCACCGGAGAACUACGUG
rnacentral:rRNA from 1 species